CUCCUUUGAAGUUAGCGGCGGACGGGUGAGUAACACGUGGGUAACCUACCUAUAAGACUGGGAUAACUUCGGGAAACCGGAGCUAAUACCGGAUAACAUUUAGAACCGCAUGGUUCUAAAGUGAAAGAUGGUUUUGCUAUCACUUAUAGAUGGACCCGCGCCGUAUUAGCUAGUUGGUAAGGUAACGGCUUACCAAGGCGACGAUACGUAGCCGACCUGAGAGGGUGAUCGGCCACACUGGAACUGAGACACGGUCCAGACUCCUACGGAAGGCAGCAG
rnacentral:rRNA from 1 species